GACGAACGCUGGCGGCGUGCCUAAUACAUGCAAGUAGAACGCUGAAGGAGGAGCUUGCUUCUCUGGAUGAGUAGCGAACGGGUGAGUAACGCGUAGGUAACCUGCCUGGUAGCGGGGGAUAACUAUUGGAAACGAUAGCUAAUACCGCAUAAUAUUGACUAUUGCAUGAUAGUCAGUUGAAAGGUGCAACUGCACCACUACCAGAUGGACCUGCGUUGUAUUAGCUAGUUGGUGGGGUAACGGCUCACCAAGGCGACGAUACAUAGCCGACCUGAGAGGGUGAGCGGCCACACUGGGACUGAGACACGGCCCAGACUCCUACGGGAGGCAGCAGUAGGGAAUCUUCGGCAAUGGACGGAAGUCUGACCGAGCAACGCCGCGUGAGUGAAGAAGGUUUUCGGAUCGUAAAGCUCUGUUGUAAGAGAAGAACGAGUGUGAGAGUGGAAAGCUCACACUGUGACGGUAUCUUACCAGAAAGGGACGGCUAACUACGUG
rnacentral:rRNA from 1 species